UACAACAGACAAUUAUAUUUUCUUGGCAAUAAUGAAUGUAUAAAAAGGUAUAAGAAGAUAGUGGUAGUGUCCUCUACCACAACUGACUACAUGGAGGCUAGGUUCAUAUACAGCAACAGCAGGCAGGCAGAUGCGACUUUAAACGUCCUGCCUGGUGGCAUCAUUUAAAAGUGGCAUCACGGAAAAGUCAGUUGAUGGGGUGUGGUGUAUGUAAAGUGCAUGUAAAAUGUUCUAGUACGACAAAGGAUGGCUUGAAAGGAUUAAUGCUCCUGACAAUCAUAAAAAGAGCAGGACCAAGGACUGAAUUCAAGGACAUUUCACAGGUCAACAAGGCAGUUUUAAUGGAGCACAAACAGCCAACUUCAACAGUUCAGCUUGAGAACGGGUUAAGGGAUUUUAGCAGCAAGUUAACCACCAUUUUCCUCCUGUGACAGACAUCGAACCAAAUGGAAAGGAAGACAAAUGUGGAUACUACAGUGUGUUUGAGGGUGGGAGGCUCUGGAUUGCUUGGCUGGACAUUAUCCUCAAUGAAAUCAUCUUGGUUCUGGACAAUACUGUAAAGGACUGACUGAUACUAACAGAAAAUACAAAGACAAGGAGAUCAUAAUGCAACAGUUCCUGCAUGAAUCAAAGUCAUGGCAACAAAACUGAGAGGACAGGGAGAUUACAAAAUGACUGUUGAACAAGAAAACCAUCUCACACAAGACCAACUUUUCCUUUUACUACACUGUAAUUUUACACACUCUUUGUCAUGGAUGAGAUAAUGACACCCAUCGGUGUACAACACAUCAAAGAACUGAGGAACUGUGGAGGUCCUUUGUCAGUUUUGCAUUUUACAUCAAUGUAGGGAGCUCACACAGUUAAGAUCUUGGGAGUUUUUUUUUUAGUUUCUGUAGAAACUGUUAACAAGAAGAUCCAACAACACAUGGCCUAUUGGAUAUCUUUUUUACAAAGCCAUGUAUUUCAAAAAUCUUGGAAACAAUUCUAGAGAGAUUCAGCUCAACAUUCCAGGUUCGGCCAUUCGAGGACUUGUCUGUUCCUGUACAAUGUGAGACCGACCCUACUGGUCUGAAUGGAGUUGUGGUGUAUGGUGAUCGGACUUAUCCCUUAAAUUCUGUUGGGAGCCAUCAGCCUAGAGAUUGGGCCUCAUCUGUGGACCACUCAGCUAGUACAGGUGGAGGUUUGGAACAGCAAUGGAGCUCAGGUAAAUGGGGACAAACCAUCUUUGCACAAUCAGAAUCAUCUAACUAACCUCUUCCUCAUCUGAGUAUAACUUACUAAAAUCAGUUUUCAACUGUUUUCAGAUAUAACGAAUAUGGAGUUCAGACAUCAUGGAUAUUUGACAUGUACAGGGACUCGGAAUGAGCACCUGACUCAUCCACUGAGUGAAACUACACGUAGAGGGACUGUACCAUGGUGCAGUCACAAUGGUCCAUGCAUGAUGAUGAUGAUGAUGAUGAUGAUAAUGAUGGCACUUUUUGGAACAAUCUUCCUGUUGCUCUUUGUAGUUAUUAUUUUAGUAAAUGAAGUAGGUAAUUAAAAUAAUAAUUUUGUUUACAUAAUUUGUAACAAAUAAAACAAUUUUCUAAUUGAGUGUU